rnacentral:rRNA from 1 species
UACGGGGGGGGCAAGCGUUGUUCGGAAUUACUGGGCGUAAAGGGUCUGUAGGCGGCCAACUAAGUCAGACGUGAAAUCCCUCAGCUUAACUGGGGAACUGCGUCUGAGACUGGAUGGCUUGAGUGCAGGAGAGGAACGCGGAAUUCCAGGUGUAGCGGUGAAAUGCGUAGAUAUCUGGAGGAACGCCGGUGGCGAAGGCGGCAUCCUGGACCGGCAUUGACGCUGAGGAGCGAAAGCCAGGGGAGCAAACGGG